UGGAGGAACAAUAUCCUAUAUGAAGCGUACAGAUAGACACAGUGAAAAUGUGUCUCUGCAUGUAAACCCCAAGCAAGAAUAAAAAAGUGAAGUAGUAGUCUGGAUUUUAUAUUAGAGUGGUCUUUUAUAGCUACCGGGUGAAGUAUCUCCAGAGUUUUCUUUGAUGUGCAUAGAAAAAAUUCUAAGAUAGGAGUGGGAAAGCUGGAAGACAUGAAACUCAGAGGUUCAAGAUUUUGAAAGGAGAUUGAAGAUAUAACCUAUUUGUUAGUAUUUUGUGAAGGGUGGAGAAGAGACGGAGAAGAUUGAGUCAAGAUUUUUGAAAGCGACAAGUUCUUUGCAUUUUCUGUAAGUGAAGUCGUGAGGCCCUAGUCCCUGAGUGUGCCACAGCCCAUCAGAAAAGGAAGCUUGCCUGUUCUUUCACCUGCGGACACCAGG